AAAAAUAUCAAAUGAUGAAAUAAAAAAAUUAAAAAUCAUUUUUAGAAACUAGAAUUAAAAAGAGAAAUAAUGCAAUUGGUCCCAUAUUUUUUGGAUUUAAAAUGAGAGAGUUAUGAAUUUUUGAAGUUAAAUUAAAUAAAAGAAAUAAAAUGGAAAUUAUAAAAAUCAGAAAAAAACCACGAGUGUCUGAUCAAGCCUCAUUAAUUGACGUGGCUG
rnacentral:lncRNA from 1 species